CGCCAAGAAGGACUACAACCUGGCGAAGCACCCGCAGAUCGAUGUGCCCAACCUGCAGGUGAUCAAGCUCAUGCAGAGCUUCAAGUCCAAGGAGUACGUCAGGGAGACCUUCUCGUGGCAGUACUACUACUGGUACCUCACCAACGAUGGCAUUGAGCACCUGCGCAACUACCUCAACCUGCCAUCUGAGAUCGUGCCUGCCACGCUGAAGAAGUCUGCCAGGCCGCCUGGCCGUCCGUUUGGCUCUGGCCCUCCUGGUGACCGCCCAAGGUAAAGCUUUUUCUUUCUAUCUUGAGGCUUUGUUAUAUCCACGUUAAAUUGUGCACUCAACAAACAUGUGAUAUGAUUCUGGAUGUUUGCUGCACGUGUCUGGUGAUAAUUCAGUUGGAGAAGUACAACCACAUCAUUAGUAGUGUUGUGUGUUUCCAAUUUUGAUAGGAAAUUUCAUCAUCUGAUAGGAUCAUGUGCUUGUAUUUGCCCAUUGUGUUAUGCUACACAAUCUUUACUAGGAAUUUGUCAGUAGCUGAGGUGUUGUCAGAAUUAGACAUGCGUGCCACUUAUGCAGCUUGUUGUUGCACGAGUUAAAUCAAACAUACAUUUAAAUUAAAGAACUGUGGGUUUGUGGUGCUUAUUUGUACCUAGUUAUAAUUUGUUUGAUUGAAUCUGUUCUUGGGUGUAGCGCAUUGUUGUAGUGCUUCAAGAAUAUAUGGGUAGAUUAAGCUAAUUUUAGGGCAACUAGGAAGAUAACAUCUACAGAAUGCUCAGUUUUGUAUUAUUUGUAGAUACUUUACUUAUCCUGUUGCCCUCUUUUUAGAAAUUGAACGAGGUAAUUUAAUUUUUUGUCGUUGCUUGUAAUGUUUGCAGGGGCCCACCUCGCUUUGAAGACAGGCCAAGGUUUGGUGAGAGGGAUGGGUACCGUGGUGGUCCUCGUGGUGCUCCUGGUGACUUCGGUGGUGAGAAGGGCGGAGCUCCUGCAGAGUUCCAGCCAUCUUUUAGGGUAAUUGUUUUCUUCACUAGUUUUGAACAUUAUUGAUGCAAAUCUGCAAUUGUUCUUCCACAUAUUGCUGCGCGCUUCACCGUGCUGCAUUUGGUCUUAGCCCCACUUUGAUCAUUUAUUUAAAAAAGAAGCUAUCAGCAUGGUUUAAAUCGUAGAUCAUAAUGUUUACUCUAUUUUUUAUAUGCUCAGAGCUUGAAUUAAGUCAUGAUCACCAGUUAAUUUACAGACAAAGCAGAGGCACAUUCUAGACUUAGUUUGACCCUUGCUGCACCUGCUGUCUUGCAUUGGCCCCUUGAGCUGUUCUUGCCCUUUCUAUUGUGUAACUUGUCAGACAAAUUAGCAAUGUGAAACAUGAGUUGGUCAGGAAUUUGCACUGUUGGCGGGAGUUGCUUUAUGGAAGAGUUCCUUGCUUUUUCCCUAUAUUCUAGGGAUGUUGAAUGGACUAUUAGGUUGCAAACUAUCAUGCACCAUCUGUUUCAUGAAUGCUAAUGUUUAUUUCCAUCCCACAAACUCUGCAGGGUUCUGGUGGCAGACCUGGCUUUGGCCGUGGCGGCGGCAGCGGCUUUGGUGCUGGCCCAACCUCUUCAUCCAUGGAGUGAAGUUGCCCCUAGUUUGGACAUGGUGUUUCCCUUCGCGCGAGGCGUUUAAUUUUGAAGGACAGUUAUUAUGUACUAGUAAUGUUAUCCGGAUCGGCAAGUGCUGACAUAUGCAGAAAAAUUGUGCUAUCUUGAUACCUUGGUUCCAGUAUAAUAGU
rnacentral:lncRNA from 1 species